ACCCAGUACUCUGGGAGGCUGAGGCAGGAGAAUCUCUUGGGUUCAGGAGUUUAAGACCAGCCUGGGCAACAUAGCAAGACCCCAUCUCUACAAAAAAUUUAAAAAAUUAGCAGGGCGUGAUCGUGCACACCUGUGGUCCCAGCUGCUUGGGAGGCUGAGGUGGGUGAAUCACUUGAGCCCAAAAGAUUGUGCCACUGCACUCCAGCCUGGGUGACAGAGCAAGACCCUAUCUCAAAGAAAAAAAAAACUUUUUAAAAAAGUUAAACCACUCUUUUGCCAAAAUUAUAAAAAAAGCUAUCAACAGAAAAUUGCUUGUAAUUUUCUACUUUUGAGACAAACUAUGAGUUAUGUACUAAGAGACAGACUAUAUUAAGAUCAAGGCUGUAUUAACAUUGAGGCUGAGCUUCCCACCUUAUUGUACCAGAGUAACGUGUAUUUCAAAUGCGCUUUUGGUGUAAACUCUGUAAUAAAUAUGCUUUUUAUGCACCAA
rnacentral:sRNA from 1 species